AUUGAACGCUGGCGGCAUGCCUAACACAUGCAAGUCGAACGGGGCAGCAAUGCCUAGUGGCGGACGGGUGAGGAACACGUAGGAAUCUGCCCUUAAGUGGGGGAUAACCAGGGGAAACCCUGACUAAUACCGCAUGAUCUCUUCGGAGCAAAGAGGGGGACCGCAAGGCCUCUCGCUUCUGGAUGAGCCUACGUCUGAUUAGCUAGUUGGUAGGGUAAAGGCCUACCAAGGCGACGAUCAGUAACUGGUCUGAGAGGAUGAUCAGUCACACCGGAACCGAGACACGGUCCGGACUCCUACGGGAGGCAGCAGUGGGGAAUAUUGGACAAUGGGCGGAAGCCUGAUCCAGCAAUGCCGCGUGUGUGAAGAAGGCCUUCGGGUUGUAAAGCACUUUAGCCUGGAGAGAAAAAACUUUGGUUAACACCCAAAGUCUUGACGGUACCAGGAGAAUAAGCACCGGCUAACUCUGUGCCAGCCGCCGCCGUAACAC
rnacentral:rRNA from 1 species